GAUGAACGCUGGCGGCGUGCCUAAUACAUGCAAGUCGAGCGAACGGACGAGAAGCUUUCUUCUCUGAUGUUAGCGGCGGACGGGAGAGUAACACGUGGUUAGCCUAACUAUACGACUGGGAUACCUUCGGGAAACCGGAUCUACUACCGGAAAAUAUUUUGACCCGCAUGGUUCAAGAGUUAAAGACGGUCUUGCUGUCAGUUAUAGCUGGAUCCGCGCUGCAUUAGCUAGUUGGUAAGGUAACUGCUUACCAAGGCAACGAUGCAUAGCCGACCUGAGAGGGAGAUCGCCUACACUGGAACUGAGACACGGUCCAGACUCCUACAGGAGGCCGCAGUAGGGAAUCUUCCGCGAUGGGCGAAAGCCUGACGGAGCAACGCCGCGUGAGUGAUGAAGGUCUUCGGAUCGGAGAGCUCUGAUAUUCGGGAAGUUCAAAUGUGUAAGUAACUGUGCACAUCUUGACGGUACCUAAUCAAAAAGCUCCGGCUAACUACGUG
rnacentral:rRNA from 1 species